UACGUAGGGUGCAAGCGUUGUCCGGAAUUAUUGGCGUAAAGAGCUCGUAGGCGGUCUGUCGCGUCUGCUGUGAAAACUCAGGGCUUAACCCUGAGCUUGCAGUGGGUACGGGCAGACUAGAGUGAUGUAGGGGGAGACUGGAAUUCCUGGUGUAGCGGUGAAAUGCGCAGAUAUCAGGAGGAACACCGAUGGCGAAGGCAGGUCUCUGGGCAUUAACUGACGCUGAGGAGCGAAAGCAUGGGGAGCGAACAGG
rnacentral:rRNA from 1 species